rnacentral:rRNA from 1 species
AGAGUUUGAUCCUGGCUCAGGAUGAACGCUGGCGGCGUGCCUAACACAUGCAAGUCGAACGAAGCCCUCGGGCUUAGUGGCGGACGGGUGAGUAACGCGUGAGAAUCUCCCUUCAGGAUGGGGACAACCGUUGGAAACGACGGCUAAUCCCCAAUGUGCCGAGAGGUGAAAGGGUUUCCGCCUGAAGAAGAGCUCGCGUCCGAUUAGUCAGUUGGUGAGGUAAGAGCUCACCAAGGCAGCGAUCGGUAGCUGGUCUGAGAGGAUGAGCAGCCACACUGGGACUGAGACACGGCCCAGACUCCUACGGGAGGCAGCAGUGGGGAAUUUUCCGCAAUGGGCGAAAGCCUGACGGAGCAACGCCGCGUGUGGGAAGAAGGCUCUUGGGCUGUCAACCACUUUUCUCAGGGAAGAAGACCUGACGGUACCUGAGGAAUCAGCCUCGGCUAACUCCGUGCCAGCAGCCGCGGUAAUACGGAGGAGGCAAGCGUUAUCCGGAAUUAUUGGGCGUAAAGCGUCCGCAGGGGGCGCAUCAAGUCUGCUGUUAAAGGCUGGAGCUUAACUCCGGUAGAGCAGUGGAAACUGGUGCGCUAGAGGGCGACAGGGGUAGAGGGAAUUCCCAGUGUAGCGGUGAAAUGCGUAGAGAUUGGGAAGAACACCGGUGGCGAAAGCGCUCUACUGGGUCGCACCUGACCCUCAGGGACGAAAGCUAAGGUAGCGAAAGGGAUUAGAUACCCCUGUAGUCUUAGCCGUAAACGAUGGAUACUAGGCGUGGCUUGUAUCGACCCAAGCCGUGCCGAAGCUAACGCGUUAAGUAUCCCGCCUGGGGAGUACGCACGCAAGUGUGAAACUCAAAGGAAUUGACGGGGGCCCGCAC